AUUCACCCGUGACUCAUAAACAGGGUGACUGGCUUUUCACACCAGUCUGAGAUGCGCCUCCCUCAAACCUUAUUAGGAUGUUGGUUUAUCACCUAUUUCGUGGACA